rnacentral:rRNA from 1 species
GCUACGGGUGGCUGCAGUGAGGAAUAUUGCGCAAUGGCCGGAAGGCUGACGCAGCGACGCCGCGUGAGGGAUGAAGUCCGUUAGGAUGUAAACCUCUUUUGCAGGGGAUGAAUGUCUCGCUAUACGCGGGAUUGACCGUACCCUGCGAAUAAGGAUCGGCUAACUACGUGCCAGCAGCCGCGGUAAUACGUAGGAUCCGAGCGUUGUCCGGAAUUACUGGGGGGAAAGGGCGUGUAGGUAGGUCCCUAGUGACAUCCCGCAGCUUAACUGCGGAAUUGCCUUCGAUACUGGGGAUCUUGAGUACGGCAGAGGGAGAUGGAAUUCAUGGUGUAGCGGUGAAAUGUGUAGAUAUCAUGAAGAACACCGGUAGCGAAGGCGGUCUCCUGGUCCGUAACUGACACUGAUGCGCGAAAGCGUGGGGAGCGAACAGGAUUAGAUACCCUUGUAGUC